rnacentral:misc_RNA from 1 species
UCUUCAGAAGAUGAUCCCAAUCCUUGGGGCGGUUUCUUUAAAAGCCCUCCCUUAGGCUUUCAGCAAGAAAAGGGGCUUUAAGGAAAAAGAGCUUUAAAAAAGAUUUUCCGUAAGAUAAUGCCGGGGAAGGUUUUCCGGUUUAUCCCGGAGGGGCUUGUAGCUCAGUUGGUUAGAGCGCGCGCUUGAUAAGCGUGAGGUCGGAGGUUCAAGUCCUCCCAGGCCCACCAUUUUGUAUCAAUCUAUAAGCGCUUGUAGAACUUUUUUCUAUAAGGCUUUCUCUUAUAAUUAUAUGAAGAUUAUAUACGAAGAAGUUUCCUUAUCAAAAUAAGAAGUUUCUUUCCUUUGCUUAAGCAAUCGGGAGAAAAAGCGGUUCAAACAAACA